AACGUAGGGGGCGAGCGUUGUCCGGAAUUACUGGGCGUAAAGCGUGCGCAGGCGGCCCGUUAAGACAGGUGUGAAAUCCCUGGGCUCAACCUAGGAAUUGCGCUGGUGACUGGCGGGCUCGAGUACGGUAGAGGGGGGUGGAAUUCCUGGUGUAGCAGUGAAAUGCGUAGAGAUCAGGAGGAACACCGAUGGCGAAGGCAGCCCCCUGGGCCUGUACUGACGCUCAUGCACGAAAGCGUGGGGAGCAAACAGG
rnacentral:rRNA from 1 species